UAGCUCAGUUGGUAAAGAAUCUGCCUGUAAUGCAGAAGACCCUGGUUCAAUUCCUGG
rnacentral:tRNA from 1 species